rnacentral:tRNA from 1 species
GGGAUUGUGGCUCAGAGGUAGAGUGCUCACCUAGCAUGUGCGAGGCCCUGGGUUCUAUCCUCAGCAACACA